CUUCAACGAUUCCAACUAGCUAUGUGGAGCCUGCCGCUUGGAGUAGUCCACCUAUCAAUUUCGUCAAGGCAAACUGAAGCAUGUACGACAUGCUCUGCAAGCUGAGAUGAAUGUGUGCACUCCAGCGACUGAAGGUGCAGCUGCACUCGGCUUAAAUUGCGCUGUUUUUGAGUCUGAUAAUCAGACUUUGGUGAAUGCCCUGAAGACUACUAGCUACGACCUAUCAGAUACUGGAGUCCCGCUACGUGAAAUAAGAAGUGUUUGCAGCUGUUCUUUUGAGUCUUUUGAAUUCAGGUUUAAUCCCAGAUCCUGUAAUAAUUGAUAAAGUAGAGCAUAAACUAGCACAGUACGCCCUAGAGUGCUCAGGUUGGGCAGAUUCCGCCCCAGACUUUGCAUCUGCCUUAGUGGCUAGUGAGUUUGCUAAACGUUC